rnacentral:tRNA from 1 species
GGGUCUAUAGCUCAGUUGGUUAGAGCGCACCCCUGAUAAGGGUGAUGUCGGUGGUUCAAAUCCACUUAGACCCACCA